UGGGGAAUAUUGGACAAUGGGCGCAAGCCUGAUCCAGCCAUGCCGCGUGAGUGACGAAGGCCUUAGGGUUGUAAAGCUCUUUUGGCGGGGAAGAUAAUGACGGUACCCGCAGAAUAAGCUCCGGCUAACUUCGUGCCAGCAGCCGCGGUAAUACGAAGGGAGCUAGCGUUGUUCGGAAUCACUGGGCGUAAAGCGCACGUAGGCGGAUGUGUCAGUCAGGGGUGAAAUCCCGGAGCUCAACUUCGGAACUGCCUUUGAUACAGCACGUCUUGAGUCCGAUAGAGGUGGGUGGAAUUCCUAGUGUAGAGGUGAAAUUCGUAGAUAUUAGGAAGAACACCGGUGGCGAAGGCGGCCCACUGGAUCGGUACUGACGCUGAGGUGCGAAAGCGUGGGGAGCAAACA
rnacentral:rRNA from 2 species